ensembl:snRNA U6 U6 spliceosomal RNA
GUGCUCGCCUCAGCAGCACAAAUACUGUAUAUAAUUGGAACAGUGCAGAGAAAAUGAACAUGACCCAUAAUCAAAGAUGACAUACAAAUUCGUGAAGCGUUUCUGUUUGUU